rnacentral:rRNA from 1 species
AGUUUAAUGAAUAAAAUUGAUAAAACUUUCAACAACGGAUCUCUUGGCUCUGGCAUCGAUGAAGAACGCAGCGAAAUGCGAUAAGUAAUGUGAAUUGCAGAAUUUAGUGAAUCAUCGAAUCUUUGAACGCACAUUGCGCCCCUUGGUAUUCCGA